rnacentral:rRNA from 1 species
UGGGGAAUUUUUCGCAAUGGGCGAAAGCCUGACGAAGCAACGCCGCGUGGAGGAUGAAGGCCCUAGCGGUCGUAAACUCCCGUCUAGCGGGACGAAACCUUGCAGGGUAAAUAAUCCUGCGAAUUGACUGUACCGCUGGAGGAAGCUCCGGCCAACUCCGUGCCAGCAGCCGCGGUAAUACGGAGGGUGCAAGCGUUAAUCGGAAUUACUGGGCGUAAAGCGCGCGUAGGCGGCUUGGUAAGUCGGAUGUGAAAGCCCUGGGCUUAACCUGGGAAUUGCAUUCGAUACUGUCUUGCUAGAGUACGGUAGAGGGAAGUGGAAUUUCCGGUGUAGCGGUGAAAUGCGUAGAUAUCGGAAGGAACACCAGUGGCGAAGGCGACUUCCUGGGCCAGUACUGACGCUGAGGUGCGAAAGCGUGGGGAGCAA